UACGUAGGGCGCAAGCGUUAUCCGGAAUUAUUGGGCGUAAAGAGCUCGUAGGCGGUUUGUCGCGUCUGCUGUGAAAGACCGGGGCUCAACUCCGGUUCUGCAGUGGGUACGGGCAGACUAGAGUGCAGUAGGGGGAGACUGGAAUUCCUGGUGUAGCGGUGAAAUGCGCAGAUAUCAGGAGGAACACCGGUGGCGAAGGCGGCAUCCUGGACCAACACUGACACUGAGGAGCGAAAGCCAGGGGAGCAAAACGGG
rnacentral:rRNA from 1 species